CCAUCAUCCGGGACCCUAGUCAAGGAACCUGGGAUUCCCACAUAGAAAUGAUGGGCCUGGACUUCUAGCGGACCUCUCUCUCCACCAUUACUAGUCAUCUCCAUCAAGAAUAGCAUUGUAGACCCUUUUGUGGGCCUCUAUCAGGACCUUGCCCUCAAUGUGGAUCAACAAUGCCACCAAGUUACAGAUGCUACCACAACGCCAACCUGUCUCCUUGAGCAGAGGACCUCACCAGUGUAUCCUGGAAACCACCUUUUGCAUCUUAUAAUGAUCCUGGGUCCAUACUCCCAAAGGGAUAAAAAUAAGAAAGCUUCCAAUGGAGAGGAUGGGAUGCAGAGCUCUGGUGGUUGAAAUUUUGUGUAAUUGUACCCCUCUUACCCUAUGGUCUUGUUGAUUAUUAAGUCAACAAAAAAGAAAGAAGA